UACGUAGGGGGCAAGCGUUGUCCGGAUUUAUUGGGCGUAAAGAGCGUGUAGGCGGCUUUGCAAGUCCGUUGUGAAAACUCGAGGCUCAACCUCGAGACGCCGGUGGAAACUGCAAAGCUAGAGUCCGGAAGAGGAGAGUGGAAUUCUCGGUGUAGAGGUGAAAUUCGUAGAUAUCGAGAGGAACACCGGUGGCGAAGGCGGCGAUCUGGACGAUGACUGACGCUGAGACGCGAAAGCGUGGGGAGCAAACAGG
rnacentral:rRNA from 1 species